AAUCAACGCUGGCGGCGUGCCUCAGACAUGCAAGUCGAACGCGAAAGCCCCCUUCGGGGGGCAAGUAGAGUGGUGCACGGGUGAGUAACACGUAGGUAAUCUACCUUUGGAUGGGGAAUAACCACCGGAAACGGUGGCUAAUACCGCAUAAUGCAGCGGCACCUAAUGGUGACAGUUGUUAAAGCGGGGGAUCGCAAGACCUCGCGUCUGAAGAGGAGCCUGCGGCAGAUUAGCUAGUUGGUAAGGUAACGGCUUACCAAGGCGAUGAUCUGUAGCCGGCCUGAGAGGGCGGUCGGCCACACUGACACUGACAUACGGGUCAGACUCCUACGGGAGGCAGCAGUCGGGAAUUUUGGGCAAUGGGCGAAAGCCUGACCCAGCAACGCCGCGUGAAGGAUGAAAUCCUUCGGGAUGUAAACUUCGCAAGAACGGGAAGAAUAAGUAGGGGACAAUACCCUCUACGAUGACGGUACUGUUUGUAAGCUCCGGCUAACUCCGUGCCAGCAGCCGCGGUAAUACGGGGGGAGCAAGCGUUGUUCGGAUUUACUGGGCGUAAAGGGCGCGUAGGCGGCCACCGCAAGUCGACUGUGAAAUCUCUGGGCUUAACCCAGAACGGUCAGCCGAUACUGCGGGGCUAGAGUGCAGAAGGGGCAACUGGAAUUCUCGGUGUAGCGGUGAAAUGCGUAGAUAUCGAGAGGAACACCUGCGGCGAAGGCGGGUUGCUGGGCUGACACUGACGCUGAGGCGCGAAAGCUAGGGGAGCGAACGGGAUUAGAUACCCCGGUAGUCCUAGCCUUAAACGAUGAAUGCUUGGUGUCUGGGGUUUUAUAGUCCCCGGGUGCCGUCGCUAACGCUUUAAGCAUUCCGCCUGGGGAGUACGGUCGCAAGACUGAAACUCAAAGGAAUUGACGGGGGCCCGCACAAGCGGUGGAUGAUGUGGUUUAAUUCGAUGCAACGCGAAAAACCUUACCUACCCUUGACAUGUCAGGAAUCCUGCAGAAAUGCAGGAGUGCCCGAAAGGGAGCCUGAACACAGGUGCUGCAUGGCUGUCGUCAGCUCGUGUCGUGAGAUGUUGGGUUAAGUCCCGCAACGAGCGCAACCCUUGCCAUUAGUUGCUACAUUCAGUUGAGCACUCUAAUGGGACUGCCGGUGACAAACCGGAGGAAGGUGGGGAUGACGUCAAGUCCUCAUGGCCCUUAUGGGUAGGGCUACACACGUCAUACAAUGGCGCGUACAGAGGGUUGCCAACCCGCGAGGGGGAGCCAAUCCCAGAAAGCGCGUCGUAGUCCGGAUUGGAGUCUGCAACUCGACUCCAUGAAGUCGGAAUCGCUAGUAAUCGCGGAUCAGCAUGUCGCGGUGAAUACGUUCCCGGGUCUUGUACACACCGCCCGUCACACCAUGGGAGUGGGUUUCACCAGAAGUAGUUAGCCUAACCGCAAGGAGGGCGACUACCACGGUGAGAUUCAUGACUGGGGUG
rnacentral:rRNA from 1 species